GAUGAACGCUGGCGGCGUGCCUAAUACAUGCAAGUCGAGCGAACGGACGAGAAGCUUGCUUCUCUGAUGUUAGCGGCGGACGGGUGAGUAACACGUGGAUACCUACCUAUAAGACUGGGAUAACUUCGGGAAACCGGAGCUAAUACCGGAUAAUAUUUUGAACCGCAUGGUUCAAAAGUGAAAGACGGUCUUGCUGUCACUUAUAGAUGGAUCCGCGCUGCAUUAGCUAGUUGGUAAGGUAACGGCUUACCAAGGCAACGAUGCAUAGCCGACCUGAGAGGGUGAUCGGCCACACUGGAACUGAGACACGGUCCAGACUCCUACGGGAGGCAGCAGUAGGGAAUCUUCCGCAAUGGGCGAAAGCCUGACGGAGCAACGCCGCGUGAGUGAUGAAGGUCUUCAGAUCGUAAAACUCUGUUAUUAGGGAAGAACAUAUGUGUAAGUAACUGUGCACAUCUUGACGGUACCUAAUCAGAAAGCCACGGCUAACUACGUG
rnacentral:rRNA from 1 species